rnacentral:rRNA from 1 species
UACGUAGGGAGCAAGCGUUGUUCGGAUUUACUGGGCGUAAAGGGCGCGUAGGCGGCAACUCAAGUCAGCUGUGAAAUCUCCGAGCUUAACUCGGAACGGUCAGCUGAUACCGUUUUGCUAGAGUGCAGAAGGGGCAAUCGGAAUUCUUGGUGUAGCGGUGAAAUGCGUAGAUAUCAAGAGGAACACCUGAGGUGAAGACGGGUUGCUAGGCUGACACUGACGCUGAGGCGCGAAAGCCAGGGGAGCAAACGGG